UACGUAGGUGGCAAGCGUUGUCCGGAUUUACUGGGCGUAAAGAGCGCGCAGGCGGUCGUGCAAGUCGCGUGUGAAAGCCCCCGGCUCAACUGGGGAGGGUCACGCGAUACUGCUCGACUCGAAGGCAGGAGAGGGGAGUGGAAUUCCCGGUGUAGUGGUGAAAUGCGUAGAUAUCGGGAGGAACACCAGUGGCGAAGGCGACUUCCUGGCCUGUUCUUGACGCUGAGGCGCGAAAGCUAGGGUAGCAAACGGG
rnacentral:rRNA from 1 species